CUGGUGCGCGGGGCAGGGGUCCUGCUGGGGAGCGUGCAAACGCCGCGUUGGGGUGGAAACCCCGAUUAGAGGCAUUCAUGGAAUUGCUAACGACCUUGCUACAUCCUAAAUCACUCAAGGUGGGGACUGAAGCAGCAGUGGGGAUUUUUUUUGCAUGAAAGCGUUUCCUUUUGCAUGAUCUACUUGGUCUGCAGAGGGUGCAUAAGCAAAGAAGUCACUGGCUUUUUUUGCAGCAACAUCGCACUGUUUGCAAUGAAUUGUUUUGCAUCCAGGAUGGAGGGGGGGAAAAAAAUAUAUAUAUAUAUAUAUAUAUAUAUAUAUUUGCAAAGCAAGCUGUUUCCCACCACCACCCACCCCAGCUCCUCUCUGCAACUUGCAAUAGCUGUUUUUGUCAGGGAGUUUAUCACUGUGAUACCAACCACCAGUAUAACCCACAGUGCCGCAGGGCAGUGCAAAAUCCUGCAUCGGCAGGAAAAGACCCUUUUUGGCUUUUUGGGGUUUUUUUGCACCAGGUCUCCAGCUGCAAGAUCCCUCCAUUGCAGGUGGCGAUUUGGAUGCCGCUGGGGGUUUUUGUCGCGGCCUGGAGCACUGUGCACAGCAGCUACUACUAGUAGGCACCGUGGUCGGCCGCCGUGCAAAAAUCCCCCACUGGUUUUGCACAGGGCUGAGUGGCAUUUUCGGCACACAGACAUCAUAAACUGCAGCGGGAUGAAAUCCCCCGGUGUCGACUCCUUGCACCCUGCAACUGAAAGCAUAAAUCCCCAAAGCAAUUCCCAGGGYGACGUAUAUUCCUUUAUAUCCCUUGCUGGUGGCACGUUCCUUUAUAUUGCAACGUAUUCCUGGCGGACCACCCGUUUUGCAAAGAUUUGGAGGGGUUUAGGGCCUCUCUUAGCAUAGCAGCCCAUGGAUUCCCAGGGGAAAAGAAAAACAUUUUCCAGCAUGGAUUUGCUUUUUAAUGCGCCUCCGGCGUGCACGCACAGAAAUCCCCAUGCAUCUACGUCUGCAUUGGAUUUUUUUUUUGCAGCAGCGUCCAGCUGGCAAAUGCUGUGCUGCAAAUUUUGUACAAUUUCCGAGUGGGGUGCAAUCGCCCUUUGCAAUUUCCGAGUGGGGUGCAAUCGCCCUUUGCAAUUUCCGAGUGGGUGCAAUCGCCCUUUGUAAUUUCCAUGAGUGCAAUUGCCCUUUGCAGCGCCUCCUGCCUUAUCCUUGCCGUUUUGGGGUUUGCAACAAGGAAUUGCAUGGUGCAAUGCGCCGUUUUCUUUGCUUUUUGCUUUUUCCACUCCCUGGGCAAAGAAAACCCUUUUUUUUUGGUGAACGUGAUGCCUUAAAUCCCAUUUUACGGCUCCAUCGCACCAGCAUCGUCCGUUGUCUCCCUCGCAGCAACGGGAGGGCCGUGUCUGCUGGCAAAUGCAGCCGCCGGGUGCUGGGAAGGUGCAUUUUGCUCCAGGAUAAAAACGAGAAGUUGCUGUCGUGCAACGGGCGAUUCCCAGUCCGGGUGGCUUUUGGCAACGGCGCCAGGAAACAGGUGGAAAAACUGCAGAUUCAGGUCGGCUGCGGUGCUCCCCUCGCUGCCCGCUCCCCAGCCCCGAGAGCCGGCGGCACCCGGACACGGCGGCUUUUUAAGCUCGUUUUGGGGGGCUGGAUUUGCAGAAACGGAAAGGCGGCAGCAUCCGGGGGGUGGAGAAAUGCGGUGGGAAAUAGCAAGAAAAAGAAAAAAAAAAAAUGAUUCAGAGUGGCCUAGCAAUGACAUUGGCCAACAGGGGCUCCACCACCACAACCAUAAGCACCAGCAUCUUUCGCGCAGUAGUAGGUGGCGGUGUCGUCGGUCUUGAGGCUGUUCAUCUGCAGGUAGAGCGUGCUCUGGGCGUUGUCCCUGGAGAUGGUGAAGCGCCCUUUCACCGCAUCCGCGUAGCUUGGAUAGCUACCAUCGUCGUCAAUACCUGCGACGUACUCGAGCCCCUUCCCGGGCGCCUGUCGGAUCCAGUACAUGUAGGAGCUGCUGCAGGUUUCAGCAAUGGUCCCCAUCGGGGGGAAACCCUGGAGCCGGGAACGGAGGGGUUGGUCUGUGGCCAGGGCUGCGGGCRGACGUGCAGCUGAUCGAG
ensembl:lncRNA